AACUUUGCGCAGUGGCGAUAUCGUAACCAAUGAGGUACAACCGAGGUGCGAUUAUUGCUAGUUGAAAACUAAUAUACACAACGAAUCGCAUUGUCUGCUGCUCAUCAGCGAUUUGAUGCUAUCGCUCUCGUUACGUACGA